rnacentral:lncRNA from 1 species
AGCUUCUGCUAGUGUUUAGGUACUAGUGCAGUGUAGAACCCUUUUCUCAGGCAAAACCUAACAUCUGACCGCACCCUUUUUGCUAUUAAAAAAAAAAAAAAGCUUCUAUUUUUUUCCUCCUGUCGUUAAGAUAAAUUCUCCAGUAGACAACCUCUCCCACUAAUUGUGUAUUAGCAACGUAUUUUAUCUUGAGAGCUUGUACACUGGGCUCUCAACGUGGUGUGGAAGGUAGCCUGUUACAGUGCUGGAUUCAUAAAAGGGCCUUUAUGGUUUGUGAAAGAAUAUCUGUGUGCUUAGGGAGGAAACUUUUUGAUCUGCAGAAAAGCCAGAAGACAUCUAGGACAUCCAUAAAAAUUCAUCAGAGAGCAUUUUACUACUGAGCUGCAAAGGGAAAAACUUAAAAUGGAUAUGAAAAGUGAAGAAAGUGAUCAUAGGAGAAAACCAUUUCAGAUGACAAGAGCACCUCAAAGGCAGCAGCCUCAAGGAGCAGCCAUGGCCCCAGACUUGUCGCACGGAUGCAGAAAACUUAAUGGAGGAGGCUGAGGCUGGAGUGCAAUGACGCAAUCUCAGCUCACU